rnacentral:tRNA from 1 species
UCCCUGGUGGUCCAAUGUUUAAGACACUGCACUUUCACUGCUGAGGGCACAGGUUCAAUCCCUGGUCAGGGAA